GGCUGACUGCCACUGGGGAAGGAUCUCUGAUUAGAGGUCUCUCUAGUGUUGAGCUUCCUUUGUAAGCCUGGGUCUUUGGAGGUGGAAAACACAAAGAUUGACCUGAUGGACUACUAGUUUUAGGUACAUCUCAUACUAGGAGAAUGAUGGCAGGAAUAGCUCAACACUCAACUUGCGGGACAAUCCCACAGCCCUGUUCCUUGCCAUGGUCCCCCAUGUUACACUGGAAUCAGCCUUGCCAGCUCGCUCAGCCUGACAUUGAUGUGCUUUGCUUACACCUCAUUGUGUGCCAGCAGUGAUGUGGGAUUUGCUUUUUUGGGCUUUGGGAAAGAGGUGUGAAGAAGAGAGGGACCAAAAUGAUGGGAGUCACGGACUGACAAGUGAUGUCUUACCCAUAUUCCAAACAGUCCUCUGAUGGCUGGAGAAAAAGUUUUUAGAUUCUCAGCAAAAUUUGGGAAUUCUUGAAGAAAAGCCUUUCCUAAUCAUCUCCCCAUGUGCCUGCCCUGCUGACUCUUGGAGCAUCUCCAAGAGGACAGCUCAGGCAGGUCAAGCAGGACAGCUCAGUAGAGGUCACGCUUUGAAAUGCCCUCUUUCAUCUGGGUGUACAAUAUAAAGGCUGACAAGUUGUGCUGUCUAAACUUCCAUAUUGCUUUUUUUUUUUGCCAUGUCACACUCACGCCUUGGUCAAAUGCUGCCUGCUUAAGUUAUUAGCAUUGUAAACACCUAUUAUGUUUCUCAUGCACUUCAUAUGUCAUUGGCCUCCAGCUGUUGGUGCUAGAAGAGGAGAACAGGGCUCGACCCAAGAAGGGGAGGAGGAGUGCUGGAGGAGACCCCGGGAGUGAGACCGGUUGGGAAGCUGCCCAAGGGAAUGUUCGGAGAACCCCACGCAAGGAGUCUCGAUCCGCUCCUUGGAGUCCCCCUGAAAGCCUAAAACAAGCUUUUCAUCUCUGCCCAGUGCUUCACCUGGUUCUGAAUAAUUUUGUUUCUUCCUCUUAUAUCUAUUACAUUAAAAGUUACUUUCAAAGGAAAUUGUUGCAUCAACAAGCACUCAGAAAACAUAAAUCAACUGUGUUCUCUUUGCAGCCCUUGAUUUACCCCCUACACAACAGGCUUUAUUUGCAGUGUUGCAUAAUAUAUUUCCCACGGUGCUGUGGCCUUAUUCUGCACGUGGAAAGGGCAAUACUUAAC
ensembl:lncRNA